rnacentral:rRNA from 1 species
AUGCAUGGUUGCCCAUGUGUUGCCACAGAACAAUCCUACAGUCGGGCAGUGCUAUCCUACAGUGGGGAUGAGAGGAUUCAGCGGCUUCACCGGUGGCUUGUCUAUCUCCAGGAGAUGGAGCCCGCCGCCUCAUCGAUGUGGGAGCUGCAUUGCACGUACAGGGCACGACGGCUCAUGGAUGCUGGAGCUGUAGUGCACUGUUUAGGAGUUCGAAAGCAUGAAGGAGGAGAUUACCUACAAGUGUUUAAGAUCACGCAGGAGGAUGUCAAAGUUUUCCAUUGUCCGGCACUUGUGAGCAAGCAGUAUAUGGACUUCACUCUGAUUCUAAAGAAAAAGUGGGCUACCUGA